rnacentral:rRNA from 1 species
UAGGGAAUAUUGCACAAUGGGGGAAACCCUGAUGCAGCGACGCCGCGUGAGUGAUGAAGGCCUUCGGGUCGUAAAGCUCUGUCGUAUGGGACUAACAAAAUGAAGGUACCAUGCAAGAAAGGAUCGGCUAACUUCGUGCCAGCAGCCGCGGUAAGACGAGGGAUCCUAGCGUUGUUCGGAAUUAUUGGGCGUAAAGCGGGUGUAGGCGGACUUAUAAGUCAGGUGUGAAAUCCCAGGGCUCAACCCUGGAAGUGCACUUGAUACUGCAAGUCUUGAGUGUGGUAGAGGCUAUUAGAAUUCCUGGUGUAGUGGUGAAAUACGUAGAUAUCAGGAGGAAUACCGGAGCGAAGGCGGAUAGCUGGGCCAACACUGACGCUGAGACCCGAAAGCG